ACUUUCUUAGUAUAAUAGUAUCUCUGGCUUCCAACCAGAAGGUCUAAGAACAUCUUAGAGUAAGUA
rnacentral:tRNA from 1 species